rnacentral:tRNA from 1 species
GGUGGUUUAGCUCAUUGGUUAGAGCUUAGGCCUUGUUACCGGAAGGUUCCGGGUUCGAAUCUCGCUAGAGACCG